rnacentral:rRNA from 1 species
UACGGGGGGGGCAAGCGUUGUUCGGAAUUACUGGGUGUAAAGGGCUCGUAGGCGGCCAACUAAGUCAGACGUGAAAUCCCUCGGCUUAACCGGGGAACUGCGUCUGAUACUGGAUGGCUUGAGUUUGGGAGAGGGAUGCGGAAUUCCAGGUGUAGCGGUGAAAUGCGUAGAUAUCGGGAGGAACACCAGUGGCGAAGGCGACUACCUGGCCUGUUCUUGACGCUGAGGCGCGAAAGCUAGGGGAGCAAACGGG